rnacentral:tRNA from 1 species
GGAGUUGUGGCUCAGUGCUAGAGUGCUCGCCUAUCAUGCAAGAGGCACUGGGUUCGAUCCUCAGCACCA